CAGUCGCCACGGUAAUACAGAGGGUGCAAGCGUUAAUCGGAAUUACUGGGCGUAAAGCGCGCGUAGGUGGUUUGUUAAGUUGGAUGUGAAAUCCCCGGGCUUAACCUGGGAACUGCAUUUGAAACUGGCAGGCUAGAGUCUUGUAGAGGGGGGUAGAAUUCCAGGUGUAGCGGUGAAAUGCGUAGAGAUCUGGAGGAAUACCGGUGGCGAAGGCGGCCCCCUGGACAAAGACUGACGCUCAGGUGCGAAAGCGUGGGGAGCAAACAGGAUUAGAUACCCCAGUAGUCCCUGUCUCUUAUAC
rnacentral:rRNA from 1 species